rnacentral:sRNA from 1 species
AAAUUAAUAAUGUAUUUCGUUUUUCUAAUUAAAUUAAAU